rnacentral:rRNA from 1 species
UACGGAGGGGGCGAGCGUUAUUCGGAAUUAUUGGGCGUAAAGGGCGCGUAGGCGGCCUUGUAAGUCAAAGGUGAAAUCCCUCGGCUCAACUGAGGAACUGCCUUUGAAACUGCAAGGCUUGAGGCCGGGAGGGGGUAGCGGAAUUCCCAAUGUAGCGGUGAAAUGCGUAGAUAUUGGGAGGAACACCAGUGACGAAGGCGGCUACCUGGACCGGUUCUGACGCUGAGGCGCGAAAGCGUGGGUAGCAAACAGG